rnacentral:rRNA from 1 species
UCUUCCACAAUGGACGCAAGUCUGAUGGAGCAACGCCGCGUGAGUUAAGAAGGUUUUCGGAUCGUAAAGCUCUGUUGUUGGUGAAGUAGGAUAGAGGUAGUAACUGGCCUUUAUUCGACGGUAAUCAACCAGAAAGUCACGGCUAACUACGUGCCAGCCGCCGCGGUAAUACGUAGGUGGCAAGCGUUGCCCGGAUUUAUUGGGCGUAAAGCGAGCGCAGGCGGAAGAAUAAGUCUGAUGUGAAAGCCCUCGGCUUAACCGAGGAAUUGCAUCGGAGACUGUUUUUCUUGAGUGCAGAAGAGGAGAGUGGAACUCCAUGUGUAGCGGUGGAAUGCGUAGAUAUAUGGAAGAACACCAGUGGCGAAGGCGGCUCUCUGGUCUGCAACUGACGCUGAGGCUCGAGAGCAUGGGUAGCGAACAG